GAUAGGAUGGAAGCAGAUGAAGUUGACGAACGAGUGUCGUAUUCAGAAUCGUAUCUUGUGUGCGGUUUGUUCUUGCGACCGAUGUGGGCUGACGACUCUGGUUAAUGCGCUGUGUUUAGCGUCGAUGGCGACUCUGCGGAGAGACAAUCAGUCGAUGUGCGAUGCGUGGUAUAGCUAGGAUUUCGUCGGUCUUGAAGUCAGCGCCUCAUCUGACCCGUCUUGAAACACGGACCAAGGAGUGUAGCGUUUGCGCAAGUCUUUGAGUGUGUCGAAACUUACAGGCGUAACGAAAGUGAAUUCAACUUGAUUUGAUGAGUUGGGAUGCGUUGUCUCUUGUGGACGGCGUAGGACCAUAGUUGUAUUGCGAUUGCUUGCAAUGCGGUGCAAAUAGAGCGUAAACGGUGCGACCCGAAAGAUGGUGAACUAUGCCUGAGCAGGAUGAAGCCGGAGGAAACUCUGGUGGAAGUCC
rnacentral:rRNA from 1 species